rnacentral:rRNA from 1 species
CCUACGGGUGGCAGCAGUGGGGAAUAUUGCACAAUGGGGGAAACCCUGAUGCAGCAACGCCGCGUGAGUGAAGAAGUAUUUCGGUAUGUAAAGUCCUAUCAGCAGGGAAGAUAAUGACGGUAUCUGACUAAGAAGCACCGGCUAACUCCGUGCCAGCAGCCGCGGUAAUACGUAGGGGGCAAGCGUUACUCGGAUUCACUGGGGGUAAAGGGUGCGCAGACGGGAGCGGAAGUCAGAAGUGAAAUCCUGUGGCUUAACUACGGAACUGCUUUGGAAACUGUGCAGCUAGAGUGCAGGAGAGGUAAGUGGAAUUCCUAGUGUAGGGGUAAAAUGCGUAGAUAUUAAGAGGAACACUAGUGGCGAAGGCGACUUACUGGAAUAUAACUGACGUUGAGGCACGAAAGCGUGGGGAGCAAACAGGAUUAGAUACCCUAGUAGUC